rnacentral:lncRNA from 1 species
UUUUUUUUUUUUGAGGUCAUAAAAUCCACGAUUUGUCGCUCUUCGUUGCCGCGAUCGACGCUACUUACAGUAGUAAAAAGGUAAUUCUCUCCCGGCCGUCGGAUCGGACGGUGGGACAAGGGCGCCCUGAGCCGCCGGCGCGUUGGGCGCGGCCGGCCACAUGCCCACAUGGGCGCGGUGCUUUGAACCUCCCGCGAACCAACAGCUCGCUGCGCCUGCACAUGCCCCAGCUGUCCGAGCCAAUCCGGGCACAUGGCCCGGCUCUACCUCUACCUGCUGCUCCUACUCGUAGCCGAACACUAUGCACAGCAACCGGACAAACUUUCUGCUAUAGUACAGCUAGUUUUCUAUGGCUAGCCCCGUCAGACUGGCAGAGCUAUCUGUAUCUGGCUUCUCGCCGUUUGGAUCGUGGCCUCGUGGGCAGGUCAAGCUCGACAGAUGCAGGACAGACUGUAAAACUAAAACUAUGCAAGGAGCGGCGGAUCUGGCCCUCCUCAUCAGAUGUUCUCUUCAUUUUUAUUGACAACAUCCACGUACAGUUUGCAAGAAAUAGUAUAAUGCCAUUGCGGCCUAGCAAAAUCUUAGGUGUUCUUUGUGCGUGUUAAGUGGGAUCGACGGCCUUUGGUUCAUAUUCAUAGUCUCUGCGUCGAGUAAAUCAAGUUCUUGUUCUUAGCUUGAUGUCCUUUUCUCUAGCAAUCUGAAACUGUUCUCUAAUACGUACUUAGCUGAGUGAAUAAUGUAGUAUCGUUGCAGCGUUAUGCGCACAAUCACAAAGUAAACAUCGCAAGAUCGAGCUCCCAGCAUACAUACAAGAAUAAUGGUGAAAUGCAUAAAUUAAAUCAAUGCUCGUAAUUACAGCAGAAGAUGAGGGUACACCAAUGUGCGGACGGAAGGGGGCAAAGAGGGGGAGAAAUGGAACAAAAGCUGCAAAGAAACAAUGAAAUGAUACAUCAUCGGGUCAUCUAGAAGGCGUAGAUGGCGACCGCGGCGGCGGCCAACACGAAGGCGGGGCUGAGACCAGCGGCCCCGCUGCCCGGGGUGGCGGGCUCGGCGGUGGGCGAGGGCGACAUGUCCGGGGUGGGCGCCGGAGGGGAGGACAUCGGGGAGUCGGCGGGCGCCGGCGCGGUGGCGGAGGGCGUGGGGGCGACGGUGGGCGCGGGCGCAGGGGCCGCGGUAGGGGGCGGGGACACAGGCGCCGGGGUAGGGGGCGCCAUUGCCGGGGGCGGGGUCGCCGGCGGGGGAGGCGGGGCCUGGGGCGCUGCCGCGGGGGCCGCUCCGGGCGCCUGAGCGGUCGCGGCCACGGCCAGGAGCGCGAGGACGGAGAGGAUGGUGAGCUGAGAAGCGGCCAUUGUGCAAACCUUUGGGUGGUUUCUUGGUGGCUCGCUUCUCGCUUCCUCUGCCUGCGCUGUGAGCUGUGUGUGGGUGGGGGAGCGAUGGAGAGGCGCGGCGGGGCUUAUAAAGGAGGGCCGGAACUGAGCUGUGCGGUGGCGUUGCG